rnacentral:rRNA from 1 species
GACGAACGCUGGCGGCGUGCCUAACACAUGCAAGUCGAGCGGAGCUAUUAGCAAUAAUAGCUUAGCGGCGGACGGGUGAGUAACGCGUGGGCAACCUGCCUCAAACAGGGGGAUAACACAGGGAAACUUGUGCUAAUACCGCAUAAGAUCGUAGAUAGACAUCUAUUAGCGAUCAAAGGAGCAAUCCGGUUUGAGAUGGGCCCGCGUCCAAUUAGCUGGUUGGUGAGGUAACGGCCCACCAAGGCGACGAUUGGUAGCCGAACUGAGAGGUUGAUCGGCCACAUUGGGACUGAGACACGGCCCAGACUCCUACGGGUGGCUG